GAUGAACGCUGGCGGCGUGCCUAAUACAUGCAAGUCGAGCGAACAGACGAGGAGCUUGCUCCUCUGACGUUAGCGGCGGACGGGUGAGUAACACGUGGAUAACCUACCUAUAAGACUGGGAUAACUUCGGGAAACCGGAGCUAAUACCGGAUAAUAUAUUGAACCGCAUGGUUCAAUAGUGAAAGACGGUUUUGCUGUCACUUAUAGAUGGAUCCGCGCCGCAUUAGCUAGUUGGUAAGGUAACGGCUUACCAAGGCGACGAUGCGUAGCCGACCUGAGAGGGAGAUCGGGCAAGCUGGAACUGAGACACGGUCCAGACUCCUACGGGAGGCAGCAGUAGGGAAUCUUCCGCGAUGGGCGAAAGCCUGACGGAGCAACGCCGCGUGAGUGAUGAAGGUCUUCGGAUCGUAAAACUCUGUUAUUAGGGAAGAACAAAUGUGUAAGUAACUAUGCACGUCUUGACGGUACCUAAUCAGAAAGCCACGGCUAACUACGUG
rnacentral:rRNA from 1 species